CACAGAUGCCAGAGUAAAUACAGACUGUGACAUUACAGUAACUGGACAAGAACAUCUGUGCAAGGAUGAAGACUUUACAUGCAAUGCUGCUGAUGCUGUUUGUUGCAUCAGUCUUUUCAAAACCACCUUACCCGCGCAGAAGAUCUGAUUCAUCAGACUCGGAGGGUUCGGAUGAAAAUGAUUCACGCAGAGCAUACAGAGAGGAUUCACAGUCGGUUGAGAAUUCUGACGAGUCUAAUGAAUCUUCUGAGGAAGACAUCAGAGUUGUGACAACUCGCAAAACAAGUCCACCGACCACUAGCAAGACAACAAUCAGCGGGCCAUAAGACAUCACAAGCUGUGUUACUGUGGAUCUGACAACUGAAAUAAUGGGCAAUAAUAAUAUAAUAUCUUAUUAUAACAUCUUACAAUGCUACUGCUUAAUCAUCUUUUCAUGCAAAAAAAAAACAAACAAACAAAAAAUGUCAUAUUGGUUUACAAAAGAAAGUAAUGUUUAUGUGCUGAUAAUGAAGGUCUUGAAACUGAUUGAUGUAACUUUUAAAAUUAAUUACUUUUAAAUUGCAU